CCGAGUUUACAACUCCCAAACCCCUGUGAACAUACCUUUAUGUUGCCUGGGCCGGCGGAUCAGCCCGCGCCCCGUAAAACGGGACGGCGCCCGCCGCAGGAAACCCCUAAACUCUGUUUUUAGUGGAACUUCUGAAGUAUAAAAAACAAAUAAAUCA
rnacentral:misc_RNA from 1 species